rnacentral:ncRNA from 1 species
GUGGCGAGCCCGCCGGGAUCUGCCGUCGGAGGCCGGUAUCAAACAACCACUGCUGCUGUGGUAAAGAACCAUGGUGGUGAGUGCAGGGGAAACGCCCGGACAAGAUC